rnacentral:rRNA from 1 species
GUAGUCCUGGCUCGAGGACGAACGCUGGCGGCCGUGCCUAAUACAUGCAAGUAGAACGCUGAAGGAGGAGGCUUACUUCUCUGGAUGAGUUGCGAACGGGUGGAGUAACGCGUAGGUAACCUGCCUGGUAGCGGGGGAGUAACUAUUGGAAACGAUAGCUAAUACCGCAUAAGAGUAGAUGUUGCAUGACAUUUCUUAAAAGGUGCAAUUGCACCACUACCAGAUGGACCUGCGUUGUAUUAGCUAGUUGGUGGGGUAACGGCUUACCAAGGCGACGAUACAUAGCCGACCUGAGAGGGUAAUCGGCCACACUGGGACUGAGACACGGCCCGGACUCCUACGGGAGGCAGCAGUAGGGAAUCUUCGGCAAUGGACGGAAGUCUGACCGAGCAACGCCGCGUGAGUGAAGAAGGUUUUCGGAUCGUAAAGCUCUGUUGUAAGAGAAGAACGAGUGUGAGAGUGGAAAGUUCACACUGUGACGGUAUCUUACCAGAAAGGGACGGCUAACUACGUG